ACUGCUAUCAGAAUAGGACUAAGCCAUGCGAGUCAACGUAGCAAUACGUGGCAUACGGCUCAGUAACACGUAGUCAACAUGCCCAGGGGACGUGGAUAGCCUCGGGAAACUGAGGAUAAACCACGAUAGGUCAUAAUAUCUGGAAUGAUUUAUGGCUAAAAUCUACAUGGCCCCUGGAUUGGACUGCGGCCGAUCAGGCUGUUGGUGAGGUAAUGGCCCACCAAACCUAAAACCGGUACGGGCUCUGAGAGGAGAAGCCCGGAGAUGGGCACUGAGACAAGGGCCCAGGCCCUAUGGGGCGCAGCAGGCGCGAAAACUCUGCAAUAAGCGAAAGCUUGACAGGGUUAUUCUGAGUGUUUCCGCUAAGGAAUCUUUUGGCACCGCUAAAA
rnacentral:rRNA from 1 species